GAUGAAGAACGUAGCGAAAUGCGAUAAGUAAUGCGAAUUGCAGAAUCCGUGAGUCAUCGAAUCUUUGAACGCAUAUUGCGCCCUUUGGCAUUCCGAAGGGCAUGCCUGUUCGAGCGUCAUUAUCACCCCUCAAGCCCCGGCUUGGUGUUGGGCUUAGUUACGGAUCACCUAUAACUGGCCUCAAAGAUAGUGACGGCGCCCCAGGGGGAACCGGUACGAGGAGCUUCCAGUUAAGCAUGUACGCGGGACGACUCUGCGGGCGACGGUCUUUUCAUUUCUCCAAUUGUUGACCUCGGAUCAGGUAGGAAUACCCGCUGAACUUAAGCAUAUCAAUAAGCGGAGGA
rnacentral:misc_RNA from 1 species